GAAAUGCGAUAAGUAAUGUGAAUUGCAGAAUUCAGUGAAUCAUCGAAUCUUUGAACGCACCUUGCGCUCCUUGGUAUUCCUUGGAGCAUGCCUGUUUGAGUAUCAUGAAAUCUUCAAAGUAAAUCUUUUGUUAACUCAAUUGGUUUCUACUUUGGUAUUGGAGGUCUUUGCAGCUUCACACCUGCUCCUCUUUGUUCAUUAGCUGGAUCUCAGUGUUAUGCUUGGUUCCACUCGGCGUGAUAAGUUAUCUAUCGCUGAGGACACUGUAAAAGGUGGCCAAGGUAAAUUCAGAUGAACCGCUUCCAAUAGUCCAUUGACUUGGACAAUACUUUUAUGAUCUGAUCUCAAAUCAGGUAGGACUACCCGCUGAACUUAAGC
rnacentral:misc_RNA from 1 species